UACGAAGGGGGCUAGCGUUGCUCGGAAUUACUGGGCGUAAAGGGAGCGUAGGCGGAUAGUUCAGUCAGAGGUGAAAGCCCAGGGCUCAACCUUGGAACUGCCUUUGAUACUGGCUAUCUUGAGUUUGGGAGAGGUAUGUGGAACUCCGAGUGUAGAGGUGAAAUUCGUAGAUAUUCGGAAGAACACCAGUGGCGAAGGCGACUUACUGGACACAUAUUGACGCUGAGGUGCGAAAGCGUGGGGAGCAAACAGG
rnacentral:rRNA from 1 species